AUUGAACGCUGGCGGCAUGCCUUACACAUGCAAGUCGAACGGCAGCACGGGAGCAAUCCUGGUGGCGAGUGGCGAACGGGUGAGUAAUAUAUCGGAACGUGCCCGGUCGUGGGGGAUAACGUAGCGAAAGCUACGCUAAUACCGCAUACGAUCUACGGAUGAAAGCGGGGGAUCGCAAGACCUCGCGCGAUUGGAGCGGCCGAUAUCAGAUUAGGUAGUUGGUGAGGUAAAGGCUCACCAAGCCGACGAUCUGUAGCUGGUCUGAGAGGACGACCAGCCACACUGGGACUGAGACACGGCCCAGACUCCUACGGGAGGCAGCAGUGGGGAAUUUUGGACAAUGGGCGCAAGCCUGAUCCAGCAAUGCCGCGUGCAGGAUGAAGGCCUUCGGUUGGUAAAC
rnacentral:rRNA from 1 species